rnacentral:rRNA from 1 species
AACGAACGCUGGCGGCGUGCCUAACACAUGCAAGUCGCGCGCGAAGGGCUUCGGCCUUGUAGAGCGGCGCACGGGUGAGUAACACGUGGGUAAUCUACCCUCAGGUCUGGAAUAACCCAGGGAAACUUGGGCUAAUACCGGUUAAGACCACGGAAUGAAAAUUCUGUGGGAAAAGCGGAGGAUCUCUUCGGAGACUUCGUGCCAGAGGAUGAGCCCGCGGCCCAUCAGGUAGUUGGCGGGGUAACGCCACCAAGCCUAAGACGGGUAGCUGGUCUGAGAGGAUGAUCAGCCACACUGGAACUGAGACACGGUCCAGACUCCUACGGGAGGCAGCAGGU